rnacentral:lncRNA from 1 species
UGAAAGACAGUUGUACGAAACCAUUAAGAACCAGUAGGACUCAUACACGUCAGGAACCAUUGUUAGCUGCAUGAUUAUUUUGAUGUGAUCAAGUAUUUUCUCUGCUGUUUUUGUCUUUAUUUCAAAUGGUUAUGGGCAGAAUUAAGACAGGAAACAUAAAGGAGACAAAACCUGAGGUUGAGUCCUUACAGCCGCCAAAUGACCAAGCCAAGAAGGUGCUCAACCAGGUGAACUACUCGUGCACCUUUGCUGAAUUUUUCGUAGGCAUUUAAUCCAGAUACACACUUAUCAUGAUUUGGUUUUAAGUACAACAAACUGAGAAGUGCCAGAAUGGACUGAAUUCAGAAAUAUCCUUGUAAUGCAUCAUUGGCUUCAUUUUCGAGAUUAUAUACAUAUUUUUAAACAUUAGUACAAAUACUGAUUGUGACCAGAGAUGGAAGACCAACUCAAAAGUAGGGACAAUACUGACGUACUUCUUCAUUUUUUAAAGUUAAUUUUGGACCUUUAAAAAAAUUAUACAGUAUAUAAAAAUCACGUGUGUCUCUAUUGAUUGGACAGGGAGGAAGGAUAGAAAAUGUGAGAGGGUCGUGGCCAGAAGUCAGCCAGCAACCUCUGCAACAAGAUCUUUAUCCUCUGAAUAUGAGGUGCACUCUGUAAAUACUAAGCUGAAGUCUUCAUUGACAGAACAGGACAGAAGAUGGUAAUUGUUGAUAGAUUUUCUAUGACCAAUACUGAUACCAAUAAUGAAAAGGCAUGUUAGCUAGUGGCUGAUAUUUUUUAUACCAAUAUCCCUUGGCUGCUGCUGCUGUUGUUGUUGUUGUGUUUGAAAUAAUCUAACUAGAUUAAUCAUUCAUACAAAUGAGAAAUGAAAUUACUGAACUUGAGUAGAUGUUUUAUUCGAUGAAUUUAGAGGGGAGAAUAUGUUGCUCAAGAGACUUAAGUAUUUCUGCAUCAGUUUGAAAUUAUAAAGAAAAAAAUACUGCAUACUGGAGUUAAAGAAAAUAAUGUAGAAAUCUAAUAUCCAUGUACACUGAAAUCUAAUAAAUGUAGUUAUCUUAGUCAGUAAUGUUGUUUAAGUUGAUUUUUAAUGAAUUGAUGAAAAAAGACAAAUUCACAUGGUUAUAAUAUGGGGUCCAAUCAUGUCUGGUAAACAUGUCAGAGGCAGUACUUAACUGUUUUAUUCUGUAGAUCAUAAAAUAUUUUAUAUGAAACACCAGCCUGUGACUGUUUAUAAUAUGAAAUGUUGUGAUUAAGGAUGAUGAAAUUGUGUUUUUAUUCAGGAAAGAUCACAUGAGGGCCGAUGCUGCUUUCUUGCCGAUUACAGGAAAAGGUCAUAAAUUGCCCCGAUUGAUUAGCCAACCAAUUAAUUAAUAAUCUGUCUCUGGUACAGAGUGGGGAGCUGGAAAGAAAGAGUCUGAAAUAUUGUGUGUCGAACAGCAGGCCACCAGCUUUAGGGACCGUAGAGUCUAUUAAGAGCAUGUGAGCUAAACCAGACCUACUUUUUAGCCUUUUAGCUACGAUUAUACCUUUACUUUAUAAAAAAAAAAAAAAACAAGGGUGAGAAAGAUGAAAUGGGUUCAUUGGGUGGAGUGAAGUCAGGGUCUUUUUGUUUGGGUGUAAACAUCAGAGUAUCAGACUUGUACACCAUCCUCCUACAUAUGAAAAUGAUUGUGAAUUGUAUGCUCCACAGCAGUUGCUGUAUUUCCUGCCUUGAAUUAUCAGUAGCUCCCAGUCAGUAUCUUAUUCGUGACUUAAACAAUAAUUUAUCUACCUAUUUUCAAACCUUGUAUUUAGUCUCAGUUUAAGGUGUUGAACCUGAUCAUAAAAAGAAGUUUCUCAGUGGUGUGUAUGUGCUGUCUGAAGAAGUUAAACUGUGUUUUGAACUUGUGUGAUAGAGAGGCCUGUGCUCUAGUAUUCAGGGCACGUUGAAUGAAGGCAUACACUUGCGGGCCGUGAAUUCUGAGGCUUAUCUUCUGCACGGAGACACCCUGAAACAGUUCAUUGAUGUAUAACACUCAAUGAAAUAUUGAAAUAAGCAAAGAAAAGGGGAUUGUGUUCUGGGACUGAUUUGCCUGUCCUCUCUG